AUGGACCUUCCAGCUUCACAACAAGCUCCUGCUCCAGCGGGCCCCUUAGGUGGCGCAUCCUCCUCUUCCUCGUGGAGUGGCUCGUGGAUAGAUAAGUGGUUUUUUCCAGAGGAGGGGUCAUCUUCGGACCCAAACCAGGAGGAGCUCCUUGCUACGAAUCAACCAACCGAGGUCAUGGGGCCGGAAGCUCCUAGUCCUUCAUGGUUAAAAGAAAAGAUUCUCUGA